rnacentral:rRNA from 1 species
CCUACGGGUGGCAGCAGUGAGGAAUAUUGGUCAAUGGACGAGAGUCUGAACCAGCCAAGUAGCGUGAAGGAUGACUGCCCUACGGGUUGUAAACUUCUUUUAUAUGGGAAUAAAAUGUUCCACGUGUGGGAUUUUGUAUGUACCAUAUGAAUAAGGAUCGGCUAACUCCGUGCCAGCAGCCGCGGUAAUACGGAGGAUCCGAGCGUUAUCCGGAUUUAUUGGGUUUAAAGGGAGCGUAGGUGGAUUGUUAAGUCAGUUGUGAAAGUUUGCGGCUCAACCGUAAAAUUGCAGUUGAAACUGGCAGUCUUGAGUCCAGUAGAGGUGGGCGGAAUUCGUGGUGUAGCGGUGAAAUGCUUAGAUAUCACGAAGAACUCCGAUUGCGAAGGCAGUUCACUGGACUGCAACUGACACUGAGGCUCGAAAGUGUGGGUAUCAAACAGGAUUAGAUACCCCAGUAGUC